GUGUUCCCUUUGGCAGCACAUUUACUAAAACUGCAAUGAUGCAGAGAGAGCAGCAUGGCCCUGUACAAGGAUGACACACAAAUUCAUGACAUGUUCCUUAUUUUU
ensembl:snRNA U6 U6 spliceosomal RNA